GCCUGGCAUGUUGGCACAUCCCAGUAGUCCCAGCUACUCAGGAGGCUGAGCGGGGAGGAUGGCCCAGGUCCAGGAGUUCUGCUAUAGUGAUAAGUGCUAUGCUGAUCAGAUGUCUGUGCUAAGUUCAGCUUCAAUAUGGUGACCUCCUGGGAGAAGGGGACCACAAGAUUGCCUAAGAAGAGGUGAACCAACCCAGGUUAGAAAUGAAGCAAAUGAAAACUCCCAAGCCUGGGGCAGUGCCUGGGGCUCAAAGGAGUAGAGCGCCAGCCCCAUAUGCCACAGGUGAUGGGUUCGAACCCAACCCUG
rfam:Otolemur garnettii contig047422, whole genome shotgun sequence.